AUUGAACGCUGGCGGCAGGCCUAACACAUGCAAGUCGAGCGGAUGAAGGGAGCUUGCUCCUGGAUUCAGCGGCGGACGGGUGAGUAAUGCCUAGGAAUCUGCCUGGUAGUGGUGGAUAACGUCCGGAAACGGGCGCUAAUACCGCAUACGUCCUGAGGGAGAAAGUGGGGGAUCUUCGGACCUCACGCUAUCAGAUGAGCCUAGGUCGGAUUAGCUAGUUGGUGGGGUAAAGGCCUACCAAGGCGACGAUCCGUAACUGGUCUGAGAGGAUGAUCAGUCACACUGGAACUGAGACACGGUCCAGACUCCUACGGGAGGCAGCAGUGGGGAAUAUUGGACAAUGGGGGAAAGCCUGAUCCAGCCAGGCCGCGUGUGUGAAGAAGGUCUUCGGAUUGUAAAGCACUUUAAGUUGGGAGGAAGGGCAGUAAGUUAAUAACUUGCUGUUUUGACGUUACCAACAGAAUAAGCACCGGCUAACUUCGUG
rnacentral:rRNA from 1 species